rnacentral:rRNA from 1 species
AGUGAACGCUGGCGGUAGGCCUAACACAUGCAAGUCGAACGGCAGCACAGUAAGAGCUUGCUCUUACGGGUGGCGAGUGGCGGACGGGUGAGGAAUGCAUCGGAAUCUCCUUUUUCGUGGGGGAUAACGUAGGGACACUUACGCUAAUACCGCAUACGACCUACGGGUGAAAGCAGGAGAUCUUCGGACCUUGCGCGAUUGAAUGAGCCGAUGUCGGAUUAGCUAGUUGGCGGGGUAAAGGCCCACCAAGGCGACGAUCCGUAGCUGGUCUGAGAGGACGAUCAGCCACACUGGAACUGAGACACGGUCCAGACGCCUACGGGAGGCAGCAGUGGGGAAUAUUGGACAAUGGGCGCAAGCCUGAUCCAGCCAUACCGCGUGGGUGAAGAAGGCCUUCGGGUUGUAAAGCCCUUUUGUUGGGAAAGAAAAGCAGCAGGUUAAUACCCCUCUGUGCUGACGGUACCCAACGAAUAAGCACCUGCUAACUUCGUG